CUGAUAGAUAGAUCAACUCACGGAAAAUAUAAAAUAAAAUAAAAUACAAAACAGUUGUAGUUACUGACAGUGACCACUGGAGGGCAGUGAUCGUGUCCCUGUGUUGUUAUUAAGACGACAUCAUGUAGUUCAUCAUUUCACCGCUAGAUGGAGACGAAUCUCCAUUACAGGUAAUUUUAAUGCCGAAGAAGACAAAACCGGAAGUAAUGAACAGGUGUCGGUUAAUUAACCUGAUUUAUGUUAAGUUAGCAACGUAACUUCGGUCUCAAGUUAACGUUGUUUUUCCUAAAAUGAACUCGCGACUCUAUGAAGAGGAAAUAAAUAAAUGAAUGUAGAUGUCGAGAGAUAUUUCCAGGUUGAACAGUGCGGUAGGUAGAAAACAGACACUUGUAUAACCAGGGGGCAGAUCUCACCAGGAUGCGGUCGCUGUCUAUGAUGGUGUUGAGGCGAUGAGCGAUGUACCUGGGGCCCACGUUGGCUGUGGCCUCGUCGAUGAUGAGGAUGCGGUUCUUCCUGAGGAUGGCUCUGGCCAGACACACCAGCUGCCUCUGUCCCACGCUGAAGUUGGAGCCGGACUCUGCCAGGACCGUUUCUAACUUAGCAGGUAGCUCC